rnacentral:rRNA from 1 species
AUUGAACGCUGGCGGAAUGCUUUACACAUGCAAGUCGAACGGUAGAGGGGGCAACCCCUCGAGAGUGGCGAACGGGUGAGUAAUAUAUCGGAACGUGCCCAGUCGUGGGGGAUAACGUAGCGAAAGUUACGCUAAUACCGCAUGCGAUCUAUGGAUGAAAGCGGGGGAUCGCAAGACCUCGCGCGAUUGGAGCGGCCGAUAUCAGAUUAGGUAGUUGGUGGGGUAAAGGCCACCAAGCCAACGAUCUGUAGCUGGUCUGAGAGGACGACCAGCCACACUGGAACUGAGACACGGUCCCGACUCCUACGGGAGGCAGCAGUGGGGAAUUUUGGACAAUGGGCGAAAGCCUGAUCCAGCCAUUCCGCGUGCAGGAUGAAGGCCCUCGGGUUGUAAACUGCUUUUGUACAGAACGAAAAGGUUUCUACUAAUACUAGGAGCUCAUGACGGUACUGUAAGAAUAAGCACCGGCUAACUACGUGCCAGCCGCCGCCGUAA